AUUGAACGCUGGCGGCAGGCCUAAUACAUGCAAGUCGAGCGGAGCGGCGGACGGGUGAGUAAUGCCUAGGAAUCUGCCUGGUAGCGGGGGAUAACGUCCGGAAACGGGCGCUAAUACCGCAUACUAUCAGAUGAGCCUAGGUCGGUUUAGCUAGUGGGUGGGGUAAAGGCCUACCAAGGCGACGAUCCUUAACUGGUCUGAUAGGCUGAUCAGUCACACUGGAACUUGGCCACGGUCCGGACUCCUACGGGAGGCAGCGGUGGGGAAUAUUGGCCAAUGGGCGAAGUCCUGCUCCAGCCAUGCCGCGUGUGUGAAGAGGGUCUUCGGAUUGUAAAGCACUUUAAGUUGGGAGGCGUUACCAACAGAAUAAGCACCGGCUAACUUCGUGCCAGCCGCCGCGGUAAUUC
rnacentral:rRNA from 1 species